rnacentral:rRNA from 1 species
UACGUAGGGAGCAAGCGUUGUUCGGAUUUACUGGGCGUAAAGGGCGCGUAGGCGGCAAAUCAAGUCAGCUGUGAAAACCCGAGGCUCAACCUCGGGCCUGCAGUGGGUACGGGCAGACUAGAGUGCGGUAGGGGAGAUUGGAAUUCCUGGUGUAGCGGUGGAAUGCGCAGAUAUCAGGAGGAACCCCAAUGGCGAAGGCAGAUCUCUGGGCCGUAACUGACGCUGAGGGGCGAAAGCAUGGGGAGCGAACAGG